ACCAAAGUGUUUAGUGUGUGUUUGCCUUGCUUUAGAGUGGGAGAAGGAAUUGCUUCUCCCACUCUAAAGCAAGGCAAACACACACUAAACAGCAAAAUG
rnacentral:pre_miRNA from 1 species